ACGCUGGCGGCAGGCUUACACAUGCAGUCGAGCGGAGCGAAUGUGCUUGCACCUUAGCUUAGCGGCGGACGGGUGAGUAAUAUAUCGGAACGUGCCCAGUCGUGGGGGAUAACGCAGCGAAAGCUGUGCUAAUACCGCAUACGAUCUACGGAUGAAAGCGGGGGAUCGCAAGACCUCGCGCGAUUGGAGCGGCCGAUAUCAGAUUAGCUAGUUGGUGGGGUAAAGGCCCACCAAGGCGACGAUCUGUAGCUGGUCUGAGAGGACGACCAGCCACACUGGAACUGAGACACGGUCCAGACUCCUACGGGAGGCAGCAGUGGGGAAUUUUGGACAAUGGGCGCAAGCCUGAUCCAGCAAUGCCGCGUGCAGGAUGAAGGCCUUCGGGUUGUAAACUGCUUUUGUACGGAACGAAACGGUGAGCUCUAAUAAAGUUUGCUAAUGACGGUACCGUAAGAAUAAGCACCGGCUAACUACGUGCCAGCAGCCGCGGUAAUACGUAGGGUGCGAGCGUUAAUCGGAAUUACUGGGCAUAAAGCGUGCGCAGGCGGUUAUGUAAGACAGAUGUGAAAUCCCCGGGCUCAACCUGGGACCUGCAU
rnacentral:rRNA from 1 species